rnacentral:ncRNA from 1 species
UGAAUAGUCGAGUAAGUCCUGAUGUUCCUUAGACUACCGUAAGGAUGUCUUAAUCCAGACUUGAUUUGGUGAGAAUCGAGGCUCAGGGGUUGACUAUUCU